rnacentral:tRNA from 2 species
CAGGGUGUAGCUCAGCUUGGUAGAGCGUCUGGUUUGGGUCCAGAAGGCCGGAGGUUCAAAUCCUCUCACCCUGA